rnacentral:rRNA from 1 species
UACGUAGGGGGGCAAGCGUUGUCCGGAUUUAUUGGGCGUAAAGAGCGUGUAGGCGGCCAGACAGGUCCGUUGUGAAAACUCGAGGCUCAACCUCGAGACGUCGAUGGAAACCGUCUGGCUAGAGUCCGGAAGAGGAGAGUGGAAUUCCUGGUGUAGCGGUGAAAUGCGCAGAUAUCAGGAAGAACACCUAUGGCGAAGGCAGCUCUCUGGGACGGUACUGACGCUGAGACGCGAAAGCGUGGGGAGCGAACAGG